rnacentral:rRNA from 1 species
GAACGCUGGCGGCGUGCCUAAUACAUGCAAGUCGAGCGAGCGGAACUAACAGAUUUACUUCGGUAAUGACGUUAGGAAAGCGAGCGGCGGGUGGGUGAGUAACACGUGGGGAACCUGCCCCAUAGUCUGGGAUACCACUUGGAAACAGGUGCUAAUACCGGAUAAGAAAGCAGAUCGCAUGAUCAGCUUUUAAAAGGCGGCGUAAGCUGUCGCUAUGGGAUGGCCCCGCGGUGCAUUAGCUAGUUGGUAAGGUAAAGGCUUACCAAGGCGAUGAUGCAUAGCCGAGUUGAGAGACUGAUCGGCCACAUCGGGACUGAGACACGGCCCAAACUCCUACGGGAGGCAGCAGUAGGGAAUCUUCCACAAUGGACGCAAGUCUGAUGGAGCAACGCCGCGUGAGUGAAGAAGGUUUUCGGAUCGUAAAGCUCUGUUGUUGGUGAAGAAGGAUAGAGGUAGUAACUGGCCUUUAUUUGACGGUAAUCAACCAGAAAGUCACGGCUAACUACGUGCCAGCAGCCGCGGUAAUACGUAGGUGGCAAGCGUUGUCCGGAUUUAUUGGGCGUAAAGCGAGCGCAGGCGGAAGAAUAAGUCUGAUGUGAAAGCCCUCGGCUUAACCGAGGAACUGCAUCGGAAACUGUUUUUCUUGAGUGCAGAAGAGGAGAGUGGAACUCCAUGUGUAGCGGUGGAAUGCGUAGAUAUAUGGAAGAACACCAGUGGCGAAGGCGGCUCUCUGGUCUGCAACUGACGCUGAGGCUCGAAAGCAUGGGUAGCAAACAGGAUUAGAUACCCUGGUAGUCCAUGCCGUAAACGAUGAGUGCUAAGUGUUGGGAGGUUUCCGCCUCUCAGUGCUGCAGCUAACGCAUUAAGCACUCCGCCUGGGGAGUACGACCGCAAGGUUGAAACUCAAAGGAAUUGACGGGGGCCCGCACAAGCGGUGGAGCAUGUGGUUUAAUUCGAAGCAACGCGAAGAACCUUACCAGGUCUUGACAUCUAGUGUCAUUUGUAGAGAUACAAAGUUCCCUUCGGGGACGCUAAGACAGGUGGUGCAUGGCUGUCGUCAGCUCGUGUCGUGAGAUGUUGGGUUAAGUCCCGCAACGAGCGCAACCCUUGUUAUUAGUUGCCAGCAUUAAGUUGGGCACUCUAAUGAGACUGCCGGUGACAAACCGGAGGAAGGUGGGGAUGACGUCAAGUCAUCAUGCCCCUUAUGACCUGGGCUACACACGUGCUACAAUGGGCAGUACAACGAGAAGCGAGCCUGCGAAGGCAAGCGAAUCUCUGAAAGCUGUUCUCAGUUCGGACUGCAGUCUGCAACUCGACUGCACGAAGCUGGAAUCGCUAGUAAUCGCGGAUCAGCACGCCGCGGUGAAUACGUUCCCGGGCCUUGUACACACCGCCCGUCACACCAUGGGAGUCUGCAAUGCCCAAAGCCGGUGGCCUAACCUUCGGGAAGGAGCCGUCUAAGGCAGGGCAGAUGACUGGGGU